AGUGAGGCUAGAGUCACGUCUGGACGCCAUCCGUUGUCCUGGCGUGCUAGAGCGCUCGCAGAGUAAACGUCCGUGCUUAUUCGUUGGCUGUAGUCAGCAGUGGCCCGGCCAUUCACCAACUCGGACACAUUG